GCUCUGGUGGCUCAGUUGGCAGAGCGCUGGAGUAACGAUCCAGAGGACGUGAGUUCAAGUGUCAUCCAAGGCA
rnacentral:tRNA from 1 species